rnacentral:ncRNA from 1 species
CUAUGACAAAUAGUUUGUCAUGGCGGAAGGAG